rnacentral:tRNA from 1 species
GGGCGUUUAGCUCAGCUGGGAGAGCAUCUGCCUUACAAGCAGAGGGUCGGCGGUUCGAACCCGUCAACGCCCACCA